rnacentral:rRNA from 1 species
AUUGAACGCUGGCGGCAUGCCUUACACAUGCAAGUCGAACGGCAGCACGGGAACUGGCUGCUGGUGGCGAGUGGCGGACGGGGGAGUAAGACAUCGGAACAGGUCCUUAAGUGGGGGAGGGGGCGGAGGAAGCGGGAUUAAUACCAAAAACGAAUAACGCCUAAGAGCGGGGGAAGGGGGGGUUUGGAGCUAUCGGGAUGGAAGGAGGCGAUGUCGGAUUAGCUAGGUGGAGGGGUAAAGGCCUACCAAGGCGACGAUCCGUAGCUGGUCUGAGAGGAUGACCAGCCACACUGGGACUGAGACACGGCCCAGACUCCUACGGGAGGCAGCAGUGGGGAAUUUUGGACAAUGGGCGCAAGCCUGAUCCAGCCAUGCCGCGUGUGUGAAGAAGGCCUUCGGGUUGUAAAGCACUUUUGUUCGGAAAGAAAUCCUUCGCCCUAAUACGGUGGUGGUAUGACGGUACCGGAAGAAUAAGCACCGGCUAACUACGUG